GACGAACGCUGGCGGCGUGCCUAAUACAUGCAAGUAGAGCGCUGAAGGAGGAGCUUGCUUCUCUGGAUGAGUUGCGAACGGGUGAGUAACGCGUAGGUAACCUGCCUGGUAGCGGGGGAUAACUAUUGGAAACGAUAGCUAAUACCGCAUAAGAGUAGAUGUCGCAUGACAUUUGCUUAAAAGGUGCAAUUGCAUCACUACCAGAUGGACCUGCGUUGUAUUAGCUAGUUGGUGAGGUAACGGCUCACCAAGGCAACGAUACAUAGCCGACCUGAGAGGGGGGUCGGCCACACUGGGACUGUGACACGGCCCAGUCGCCUACGGGAGGCAGCAGUAGGGCAUCUUCGGCAAUGGACGGAAGUCUGACCGAGCAACGCCGCGUGAGUGAAGAAGGUUUUCGGAUCGUAAAGCUCUGUUGUAAGAGAAGAACGAGUGUGAGAGUGGAAAGUUCACACUGUGACGGUAUCUUACCAGAAAGGGACGGCUAACUACGUG
rnacentral:rRNA from 1 species